rnacentral:rRNA from 1 species
AAACAAGCCAUACAACCUCGUAGGUUGGAUGAGGCUAAAUUUAAUAUUGUCUGGCCUCCUAAGGAUUUUAGUUCGCCAAAUGAUAAUGACUACUCAUCUGUUUUUAUUUUUCAAGAAAAUACUCUAGCGACUCUAACGCAAGUUAGAACGAACAUCAGAAACCCGUACCUUAAACCGACGCUGGUGGACGAGUUGAGUAUACGAAGGUGUACGAGAGAACUACUGCUAAGGAACUCGGCAAAUUAAUGGCGUAACUUCGGGAGAAGCCAUCCCUUUCUUGUACUUUUGUAUGAGGAAGGGCGCAGAGAAAUAGCCCAAGCGACUGUUUAGCAAAAACACAGGUCUCCGCAAAACCGUAAGGUGAUGUAUGGGGGCUGACGCCUGCCCAGUACCGGGAUGUUAAACGCGGAGGUUACCUCACUUUUGUGGGGGAAGCUUUCAACUGAAGCACCGGUGAACGGCGGCCGUAACUAUAACGGUCCUAAGGUAGCGAAACCCCUUGUCGGGUAAGUUCCGACCUGCAUGAAAGGCGUAACGACUUGGGCGCUGUCUCCAGCAGUAGACUCGGCGAAAUUGCAAUAUGCGUAAAGAUGCGCAUUACCUGUACCAGGACAAAAAGACCCCGUGGAGCUUUACUGUAGCUUGACACUGAGUCAGGAUUUAGAAUGUGUAGAAUAGGUGGGAGCCUUCGGGCGCCAGUGAAAUACCACUCUUUUUGAAUUUUGAUUCUUAUCAUAAACCGUGAAUCCGGUUUAGGAGACAAUGUUUGGCAGACAGUUUGACUGGGGCGGUCGCCUCCAAAAGAGUAACGGAGGUGCACAAAGGUUGGCUUAUCGCCUAUGGAAAUGGCGAGUUAAGCGUAAGGGUAAAAGCCAGCUUGAUUGCGAGACUUACAAGUCAAGCAAGGUGGAAACACGGUCUUAAUGAUCCUUAGGCGGCACGUGGAAGUGCCUAAGCUUAUCGGAUAAAAGCUACCCCGGGGAUAACAGAGUUAUCGAUCCCAAGAGUUCAUAUCGACGGAUCGGUUUGCUACCUCGAUGUCGGCUCGUCGUAUCCUGGGGCUGUACAAGGUCCCAAGGGUUGGUCUGUUCGCCCAUUAAAACGGCACGUGAGCUGGGUUCAGAACGUCGUGAGACAGUUCGGUCUCUAUCCGGUACAGGCGUUAAUUUUUGAGGAGAGCUAUCCCUAGUACGAGAGGACCGGGAUGGACGAAUCUCUAGUGUAUCAGUUGUAGAGCCUUCUGCAUCGCUGAGUAGCUAUAUUCGUAAUGGAUAAGCGCUGAAAGCAUCUAAGCGCGAAGCCAACUCCAAGAUCAGAAAUUUUUGACUCCAGGAAGACUACCUGGUAAAAAAGCCUGUCGUAAGACAGGACGGAUAGGCGGUCGGUGUAAGCCCUGUAAAGGGUUAAGCCAAGCCGUACUAAGUGUCUAU